CCGGAGGGGGCGCGUCCAGGCGGGCUAGCCGAGUUCCGAGCGCGGCGCGUCAGAACAGGACGGUUCCCUGCACGGUCUAGUGUUUUGCAAAAGUCUCAGUUGAUUCGAGUUGUAAUAGCUCCUGAAAUUGAUCACACCCAAAUCUAGUGCAACUUCAAUGAAAUUUCCAACAGGAUUUGUUAUGUAACUUGAUAAACUGAUUCUAAAAUAUGCAUGGAAGAGCAAGAAGCGAAUUCUUCUGUAAAAGAACAAGGCAGGGAAACUAAAUUUACAAGCAACAGAAGGCUGACAUUUCAAAGGCUUCUCAACGUCAGAUAACCUCAGGGUUAGAGAGGCAACUGCAGACUGAAAAAUAAGAGCUACAAUUUAGUGUGAACACAGGUCAGCCAAAUCAAGUCCUUUACUACUCUUUGU